UAAACGGACCAUCGAGUAUCCAUUGGAGGGCAAGUCUGGUGCCAGCAGCUGCGGUAAUACCAGCUCCAAUAGCGUAUAUUAAAGUUGUUGCAGUUAAAAAGCUCGUAGUUGGACUUGUGUGCGCCGUCCGCGGGUGGCCUGCGCCCAAAAGGGCGUUUCGGUUCGGCCCCGGUGGCGCCUUGAAAUCUGCAGCUGGGGGGACGUUGGCCUUAACUGGUCGGCGACCGCACGCCGGCUGCUCGGUUACUGUGAGAAAAUUAGAGUGUUCAAGGCAGGCAUUGGGUGCAAUUGAAUACAUUAGCAUGGAAUAAUAAAAUAUGGCUCCUGCCGUAUUUUGUUGGUUUUGACUGGUGGGAGUAAUGAUUGAUAGGGACGGUUGGGGGUGCUAGUAUUGAGCGGCCAGAGGUGAAAUUCAUGGAUUCGCUCAAGACUAACUUAUGCGAAAGCAUUCACCAAGGACGUCCUCUUUAAUCAAGAACGAAAGUUGGGGGAUCGAAGACGAUCAGAUACCGUCGUAGUCUCAACCAUAAACUAUGUCGACUUGGGAUCGGCGGUAGUUUUUUUCAUUAAGACACUGUCGGGACCACGGGAGAAAUCAAAGUGUCUGGACUCUGGGGGAAGUAUGGUCGCAAGGCUGAAACUUGAAGGAAUUGACGGAAGGGCACCACCAGGAGUGGAGCCUGCGCUUAAUUUGACCCAACACGGGGAAACUUACCAGGUCCAGAGAUGUAGAGGAUUGACAGAUUGAAGCUCUUUCUUGAUCACUUCGGUGGUGGUGCAUGGCCGUUCUUAGUUGGUGGAGUGGUUUGUCUGGUUAAUUCCGUUAACGAACGAGACCUCAGCCUGCUAGUGUAGUCGGCUGGAUUGCCUUUGGCGAUCCGUGAUUUCGACUCCUUAGAGGGACAAUCGACGCGCAGUCGAUGGAAGUUUGAGGCAAUAACAGGUCUGUGAUGCCCUUAGAUGUUCUGGGCCGCACGCGCGCUACACUGCUGGGCUCAGCGAGUUUUACUUGGCCGAGAGGCCCGGUUAAUCUUGUGAAAUCCCAGCGUGCUUGGGCUCGCCUCCUGCAACUGGAGGCGCCAACGAGGAAUUCCUAGUAGACGCAGGUCAUCAACCUGCAUCGAUUACGUCCCUGCCCUUUGUACACACCGCCCGUCGUUCCAUAAGAGUGAGGCAUCCGGUGAAUUCUCGGGAGAGCCUGGGCGUGGCCAGCAAUGGUCUGCUCGGGUUUGAACUUGCAUAAACUUGGUGCCUAUGAUUAGGG
rnacentral:rRNA from 1 species